GACCAUGUAGCUCAGUUGGCAGAGCAUUGGACUAGUAUCCCAAAGGUUGUGGGUUUGAUUCUCACCAUGGCCA
rnacentral:tRNA from 1 species